UACGUAUGGUGCAAGCGUUAUCCGGAUUUACUGGGUGUAAAGGGAGCGCAGGCGGCACGGCAAGCCUGAUGUGAAAGCCCGCGGCCCAACCGCGGGACUGCAUUGGGAACUACCGGGCUGGAGUGCCGGAGAGGUAGGCGGAAUUCCUAGUGUAGCGGUGAAAUGCGUAGAUAUUAGGAGGAACACCAGUGGCGAAGGCGGGUUCCUGGACAUUAACUGACGCUGAGGCACGAAGGCCAGGGGAGCGAAAGGG
rnacentral:rRNA from 1 species